CGGGCGUUAAGUUGCAGGGUAUAGACCCGAAACCCGGUGAUCUAGCCAUGGGCAGGUUGAAGGUUGGGUAACACUAACUGGAGGACCGAACCGACUAAUGUUGAAAAAUUAGCGGAUGACCUGUGGCUGGGGGUGAAAGGCCAAUCAAACCGGGAGAUAGCUGGUUCUCCCCGAAAGCUAUUUAGGUAGCGCCUCGUGAAUUCAUCUCCGGGGGUAGAGCACUGUUUCGGCUAGGGGGCCAUCCCGGCUUACCAACCCGAUGCAAACUGCGAAUACCGGAGAAUGUUAUCACGGGAGACACACGGCGGGUGCUAACGUCCGUCGUGAAGAGGGAAACAACCCAGACCGCCAGCUAAGGUCCCAAAGUCAUGGUUAAGUGGGAAACGAUGUGGGAAGGCCCAGACAGCCAGGAUGUUGGCUUAGAAGCAGCCAUCAUUUAAAGAAAGCGUAAUAGCUCACUGGUCGAGUCGGCCUGCGCGGAAGAUGUAACGGGGCUAAACCAUGCACCGAAGCUGCGGCAGCGACGCUGAUGCGUUGUUGGGUAGGGGAGCGUUCUGUAAGCCUGCGAAGGUGGCCUGUGAGGGUUGCUGGAGGUAUCAGAAGUGCGAAUGCUGACAUAAGUAACGAUAAAGCGGGUGAAAAGCCCGCUCGCCGGAAGACCAAGGGUUCCUGUCCAACGUUAAUCGGGGCAGGGUGAGUCGACCCCUAAGGCGAGGCCGAAAGGCGUAGUCGAUGGGAAACGGGUUAAUAUUCCCGUACUUGGUGUUACUGCGAAGGGGGGACGGAGAAGGCUAUGUUGGCCGGGCGACGGUUGUCCCGGUUUAAGCGUGUAGGUGUGUGUUCCAGGUAAAUCCGGUUCACUUUAACACUGAGGCGUGAUGACGAGGCACUACGGUGCUGAAGCAACAAAUGCCCUGCUUCCAGGAAAAGCCUCUAAGCAUCAGGUAACAUCAAAUCGUACCCCAAACCGACACAGGUGGUCAGGUAGAGAAUACCAAGGCGCUUGAGAGAACUCGGGUGAAGGAACUAGGCAAAAUGGUGCCGUAACUUCGGGAGAAGGCACGCUGACACGUAGGUGAAGUGAUUUACUCAUGGAGCUGAAGUCAGUCGAAGAUACCAGCUGGCUGCAACUGUUUAUUAAAAACACAGCACUGUGCAAACACGAAAGUGGACGUAUACGGUGUGACGCCUGCCCGGUGCCGGAAGGUUAAUUGAUGGGGUCAGCGCAAGCGAAGCUCCUGAUCGAAGCCCCGGUAAACGGCGGCCGUAACUAUAACGGUCCUAAGGUAGCGAAAUUCCUUGUCGGGUAAGUUCCGACCUGCACGAAUGGCGUAAUGAUGGCCAGGCUGUCUCCACCCGAGACUCAGUGAAAUUGAACUCGCUGUGAAGAUGCAGUGUACCCGCGGCAAGACGGAAAGACCCCGUGAACCUUUACUAUAGCUUGACACUGAACAUUGAGCCUUGAUGUGUAGGAUAGGUGGGAGGCUUUGAAGUGUGGACGCCAGUCUGCAUGGAGCCGGCCUUGAAAUACCACCCUUUAAUGUUUGAUGUUCUAACGUGGACCCGUGAUCCGGGUUGCGGACAGUGUCUGGUGGGUAGUUUGACUGGGGCGGUCUCCUCCUAAAGAGUAACGGAGGAGCACGAAGGUUGGCUAAUCCUGGUCGGACAUCAGGAGGUUAGUGCAAUGGCAUAAGCCAGCUUGACUGCGAGCGUGACGGCGCGAGCAGGUGCGAAAGCAGGUCAUAGUGAUCCGGUGGUUCUGAAUGGAAGGGCCAUCGCUCAACGGAUAAAAGGUACUCCGGGGAUAACAGGCUGAUACCGCCCAAGAGUUCAUAUCGACGGCGGUGUUUGGCACCUCGAUGUCGGCUCAUCACAUCCUGGGGCUGAAGUAGGUCCCAAGGGUAUGGCUGUUCGCCAUUUAAAGUGGUACGCGAGCUGGGUUUAGAACGUCGUGAGACAGUUCGGUCCCUAUCUGCCGUGGGCGCUGGAGAACUGAGGGGGGCUGCUCCUAGUACGAGAGGACCGGAGUGGACGCAUCACUGGUGUUCGGGUUGUCAUGCCAAUGGCACUGCCCGGUAGCUAAAUGCGGAAGAGAUAAGUGCUGAAAGCAUCUAAGCACGAAACUUGCCCCGAGAUGAGUUCUCCCUGAGACUUAGAGUCUCCUGAAGGAACGUUGAAGACGACGACGUUGAUAGGCCGGGUGUGUAAGCGCAGCGAUGCGUUGAGCUAACCGGUACUAAUGAACCGUGAGGCUUAACCUUACAACGCCGAAG
rnacentral:rRNA from 1 species